GACAAAUAACUGUGUGCACUAUAGCCCUUGUGUCCUGCGUAAUUGUUCAUGAGAAAUCAUCAGAGAACACCAGCCCCCUUGACCAAGACCCAAGACCCGCACAAGCAGUGGCUGCACCAAAAGUAGAAUUUAGGAAAAUCCUGGGGCUUCAUCAUCAAGAAAAGCCUGAAGAGAGCCUCCCAUCUCUCUGGAACAGAAAUCAAAGAUCAGUCAUUGACUAAGAGACAGACAUUGGAAUGACUUCUCCAGAAAGACUCUCAGGAGUAGGAGUGGUAAGACUCAUGGUUCAAGAAUCUUGAUUCAUGUCUGCCUUGGGGAUAUUCCCACCACUGCACACAGCUGGUACCACACCGGGCUGGUGGGCAUGAGGCCCAGACUUGGGGCCACUGUUCUCCUCAGCGGUAUGGCUGAGACCAGGCUAGAGCUCUGCAACAAGAUGGAACUCAAGCAAGGAAAAACAAAAGGGGACAUAAAGUCAUAGGAAUGUGCAAAGAAGUCAGAGGGUGACUUCUGCUCCUUGUGGCCCACUGUAGGGAGGCCUCUCUGUCCAACCCCAACUGUCUCCAAGGAGCACCCUCUAACCUGUCUAGGAUCCUCAGGGUCGAGGCUGAAGAGAAAGAAGUUGGGAUCCUGGAGAACUCUCUCCCCGCCAAGACCUACUUUUGGAGUUCCCGCUUCGAGUCUGAAGACAGGCCGUCUCCCCAGAUGAUAACCAGAGGAAACGUUCCUUUCCCAGAGCCCCUGCCUCCUUACAUUCAGGAGGAUAAAUGUAUCAAUCCAACAUCAGUAAACCCUGCAUCCAUCCAGGAAAAAGGGGACAUGAGGGGACAUUUUUGACAAAUGCUUUAUCUUGACGUCAUCUCCUUGGAUCUUCACAUCAACG